rnacentral:lncRNA from 1 species
CAUCUAUAGCAACCCUAGCUUUCUCACUCCAUAUGGUAGAAAAGAGGUAAAAGAAAAUCCCUCCCAAAUCCAAUCGACGACUACAACACCGUUUCUUCUCUGAAGGUAAGUAUAAUUAUCAUGCCUUCAAUUUCUUCCUUUAGUAUAGAUUUCCCGAUUUUUUUUUCGUUUCUCUUCUUCUAUAGUGCAGCUAGCGAGUUUCCCCAUUUUUUUUAUUUAUCACAAGUUUGUUGGAAAAGUUCAUGUAAUAGAAAUGAAAUUUAAAUCUACACCCUGAUUUUUUGGUGUUUAUAUAUUCUUGUUUAAUUUUCUAGAUAUUAGAAAAGAUUUGUAUUCGAAAUAAUACAUGUGAAAAAAUCAAAAAUCCAAAAAUAUUGUAGUUUUUCUUCUUCUGAUUCAACAGCCUGUCCAAAGCAACUGUUUUCAAUUUUUGAACUAAAUAAUUUAAAAUUGGUCCAAUUAACUGAAGUAAAAGGUACUUUGAAACACAAGGCUGAGCAUAGAAGUAUUUACCUCAAAUCCAGCUGUGUCAUAUUGAAGCCUUUUAUCUGGAUUAGACAAAUAUUAUAAGAGAAUGUGACCUCCUUGAAUAUAUCUGCACCUUUAGGAUCAUUUGCAUUCUUGUCCGGAUGGUACCUACACAUUGUAAAAUAAGCAUAAAUAACAACCAACAAUUUUGUAAGCCUCAUAAAAUAGAGCUGUUGAUACAUAAGGGCAUAAACACACACGCGCGCACAGAGAGAGAGAGAGAGAGAGAGAGAGAGAGAGAGAGAGAGAUAGUAACCAUUCACAAAAUGCCAUCCAAAAGCAUCUACUAAUAGGGUUCAUGCUAUAGAUUUUUUUUCUGUUAUUGGCAAUAUAUCUCUUGCAAUAUACUGUAGAGUCUUAUAAAAUAGGAUAUAAAGGUAAAACUGAGAGCUUUAACAAUGAAACGGACCAAUAGAAGACAAAGGACAAAUUAAAGAGAACAAAAGCAAGGCGAACAAAUAGACCACCAACUUGGCAACUUCUGGAAUGAGAUUCUUCCUAUCAUGCAUUUUUUUCUUUUUUUUUUCCUACUGACAUUAUUCACUGUAUAUUUUUGGUGCAAAUAUUUGUAUAAUUUUGUUAUUUAUCUGUUUAUUGGGUUGAUGAGUAAAAUUUAUAUUAGGAGCAUGUUUGCUAAUUCGCUAAGCUUAGGAAAAAUAAUAAAAAUACUUUUAUUCUAUAGUGUUAGGAUCUUCCUCUAGCUGCUCAAGAUGAUUUUCGGGCUCAGUUAACCUUUAAAACACCGAAUCAACACCAAAACCGAAGGUACCCGCCGCCGCCGCCGAGUUCUACCUAUGGUUGCUUUUCUUCCUUUUGCUUGUUGUUUGCUCACUCACAAAGGAUGAACACCACACAGGUAAGGGCCACAAAGACACAAGCAAGAGGUAGAGAAGAUCAAUCAGUAGGAUGCACGAAGAAGAAGAAGAAGACUGCCUCUCUCUCUCUCGGGUUUUUCACACACAAAACGGGACAUGAGAAUUACCAAUAUAUAUAGUAAACCAAUGACAAACUAAGAUAAGUUAUACAUAUGGUAAGGCUCGACUAGGGUUAUGGCCUAAUAGCACACCAACAAGCCACAAAGGUUUAUUAGCCAUCCAAUAGGUAAAACAACGUUAAAUCGGGUCAUCCCAUUAUUCGGUGUUGAUUUAUCAUUCAAUCAUUCAUGUCGACUGAUAAAACUGGUUUACAUCAUCGCCCGGGAGGUCGUUUGACAACAUGAUGUCUAACAACCUCCACCUUGAUGUCAAAGGACCUGCAAAGAAAAAACGUUUCCAUUAGUGACACCUCUAACAGAAAAUCGAUUAAAUUGGAAAUCAUUUGCCUGUACUGAUGUUUAGAAGCUCCUUGCAACUUCUAAACUUUACCAGUGGUAGCACUUUCGUGCCCAUAUCCGAAGGAUUAUAUUGUGUGUGAAUUUUUUUCAAGUCUUACUACUUCUUGUGAUAUUAUAUCCCUAAUGAAGUGUAGCCUAACAUCGAUAUGUUUAAUGCGUUCGUGAAAAACAGGAUUCUUACACAGAUGUAUAGAUGACUGACUAUCAGAAUACACAACCACAUACUCAUUCAAGACACUUAAUUCAUGAAGUAGACCUCUAAGCCAUAGAGCCUCUUUAAUUGCUUCAGUGGUGGUAAUAUAUUCUGACUCUAUAGUGGAUAGUGCAACUAUGUGUUGUAGCUGUGAUUUUCGACUAACACACGAAUUCGAUAAGGUGAAUACGUAAGAGGAAGUUGAUUUCCUACCAUCCUUAUCUCCUGCAUAGUCAGCAUCUACAAAACCCUUUAAUUUCACGCCUUCCUUAUUAGCACUAAAUUUUAGACCUACAUCACUUGUACCCUUCAAAUAUCUUAAAAGCCACUUUAAUGCUUCCCAAUGUUCAGGACCUGGAUUAGACAUGUACCUACUGAGAGUACUAACAGCGAAUCCUAAGUUCGGUCUAGUGCAAAUCAUCAAAUACAUUAUGGAAUCAAUCACAUAUGAGUAUGGAAUUUUACUCAUGUAUUCCACUUCACGUUCAUUGCAGGGAGCUUGUUCUUUAGAUAGAACAAAAUGGUUUGUAAGAGGCAACGUGACAGGUUUGCAGUCACUCAUAUUAAACCUUUUCAACACCUUUGAUAUGUAUGGAGACUGAUGCAAAAAUACGAUGGAAUUUGACCUAUUUCGUUCUAUUUCCAUGCCUAAAAUCCUUUUAGCGUUUCCUAGGUCUUUCAUGUCAAAUUCUCCACUAAGAUCUGCUUUUAUAUUGUUUAUCCACUUAGGAGAUGAUCCAACUAAAAGCAUAUAGUCCACAUAGAGCAACAAGAACAAAUAAUUGUUAUCAGUCUCGUUGUGUUGAAAAUAUAGGCAGUGAUCGAAUUUACUUCUUUGAAAUCCUAUAGUGAGUACAAAGGAAUCAAACCUCUUGUACCACUGUCUAGGUGAUUGCUUUAGACCGUCUAGGGAUCUCUUCAGAAAACACACAUAAUUAGGUUUUAACUUGUCUUUAAAACCUUUUGGUUGAUUCAUAAAGAUUUGUUCAUCAAACUCUCCAUGUAAAAAAACGGUUUUUACAUCGAGUUGUUCAAGUUCCCAGUCAAAGAGCGCAACCAAUGCGAGCAUAACCCUAAUAGUAGUGUACUUCACAACUGGUGAGAAAAUCUCGUUAUAAUCAAUACCUUCUUUCUGUGUGUAACCCUUCGCUACUAACCUAGCCUUAAAUCUUAAGGGUUCUAUACUACUAAUACCUUCCUUAACCUUAAAGACCCACUUGCAAUCAACGAUUGAUUUAUUCUUAGGUCUCGGUACUAACUCCCAAGUUUGAUUCUUUUCUAAAAAACUCAUCUCUUCUUUCAUAGCCUUAAGCCACUCCUUAGAUUGACCACUAUUCAUAGCCCCUUCAAAAGUUUCCGACUCCCUAUCAAUUAGUUCUUCGUAACUAGCAUAUGCAAAAUCCAAUUCAGAUUCAAACCCGAACCUCCUAGGUUCUCUCGUUUGUCUUCUCUCUCUAUCCCUAACUAAAUUAUAGUUAGCUAAUGGAUUUUCUUCCUCAGGAUGCUCUUCUAUCACUACUUCAUUUUCCUCUUCAGGUUCUUGGACCUGAAUCUCCACCUCACUCGAAGUACUAGGUACUGAUGUGUUAAAUUUUCCUAACUCCACCUUAAAUCGAUUUCUUUCUUCACCUGAUUCAGUUUCACUUACAGGUUCGGUUUCGUUUCUUAGUCAAGGCAUCUCACUCUCAUUAAAUGUGACAUCCCUACCCACGAUGAUCUUAACUCCUUUCUGGCUUCUAUCCCAUAACCUAUAGCCCUUAACCCCUUAGGGAUAUCCUAGAAAGACACACUUCCUGGCUCUAGGUUCUAAUUUUCCCUCACUUUGAUGAGAGAAGGCAGCACGGCCAAACACUUUAAGCAUUGAGUAGUCACCCAAUUUUCCAGACCAUUUCUCAUGUGGAGUAUCACCAUUUAAUGCAGCCAAUGGAGUCAAAUUUAUCAGAUAACAGGCAGUUACAACGGCUUCACCCCAAAAUGACUUAGGAACCCCAGAACUUAACAUCAUGCAGCGCACUUUAUCUAGUACGGUCCUAUUCAUUCUUUCUGCUACCCCAUUUUGCUGGGGAGUAUAGGGAAUCGUUUUGUGCCUUGUUAUUCCACUUUCUUUACACAUCCUAUCGAAUUUAGCAUUACAGAAUUCUAGGCCGUUAUCUGUCCUUAAAAAUUUGAUUCUCUUGCUAGUUUGGUUUUCCAUUUGUUUCUUCCAGUUGUUAAAGUUAUGGAAGGUUUCAAUUUUGUCUUUCAAUAGAUAGACCCACGCUUUCCUGGUGUAGUCAUCUAUGAUAGAUAGGGAAUACCUAUUCCCACCUGAUGUGGGAUUACUAGCAGGACCCCACAGAUCAGAAUGCACAUAUUCAAGCAUGCUUUUAGCCUUAUGCGUACUAGUGGAGAACGACACUCUAUGGUGCAUUCCGAGCACACAGUGAUCACAGAACGAUAGGUCAGACACACAGUCAUUAUCAAAUGCACAUUUUUCAUUAAGUAGCUUAAAUCCCUUAAUGCCUACAUGUGCAAGCUAUGCCACGCAUGUGUGCGAUCGAUUUUGGCGGAAGAAAUAGAGGAGUUUAAUCCUCUAAUUACUUCCCCAGUAGUGAUGUAAAUAUCGUUUUUCUUAAUUCUCUUAAUAGAGAUUAACGCACCCUUCAUCAUUUUAAACAUACUGUUUCCAAUUUUACCGAUGAAGUUGUCUUUCUCAAGUCUUCCUACUGAAAUCAAAUUCCUAGAUAAUUCAGGAAUGUAUCUAACUUCCUUUAACAUGUACACAAAGCCCGUGUUAAAUUUUAUCUUUAUAUCUCCAAUUCCAGAAAUUGUAUAGGCAAAGUUAUCACACAGAACUACUUGCCCAUCAUUAGAUUCUUGCAAGUUUUCAAACUAGUUCUUUUCAGAAUCUAAUAUCCAUUCAUGCAUGUGAGAAUUAGUAGUUAGAUUCAAUUCAGUAGUGUAUGCGAUUGGACUAGUGAUCACAUAGACUUCACCGUUUUCGGUAUCGGAGGUAGAGGACAACACAUUUACCUCAUCUCUUUCCUUAACAUUUUGUUUUCCCCUUUCUUUAUGGCAGUCUUUUAUAAAAUGCCCUGUGCCUCCACGGCCAUAGUAUUUUCUAGCCUUAGUUCUAGACUUUGACCUAGGUCUACCAUUGCCCUUCUUUUUCCAACAAUUACUACUUGAUUUGCCACUACUUUGGUAUCCAUCAUGACUGGCUCGCCUAAAUUGAGUUCUACCCUACAUCAUAUGCAACUCUCCACUCCUCCUAUCCUGUUUUUCAGCCCUCAUUUCCAUCUCUUUACUCCUAAGAGAAUCUACGACAAUUUCAGGUGUUAACGUGUCCCUACCAUACUUAAUGGCAUUCUUAACUUCUUUAUAAGAGUCCGGGAUUGAAUUGAGCAAGAUAAUAGCCUUAUAGGUCUCAGACACGGCUUCGUCACAAUUGACAAUAUCUUGUACCAAUUUGUUAAAUACAUCUAAAUUAUCGUUGAGAUCCUUUGAAGGAUCUAUCUUAAAGCUGAAGAAUCGUUCGAGUAGGUAGAGUUUAUUCGGUGUAGAUUUAAGCAAGUAUAAGUCUUCUAGUCUUUUCCAAAGUUCUUUGGUGGUUUUUAGUUUUCCCACUUUUCUUAAGACAGCGUCAGACAAGUGUAAUAUUAUUGAGGUAUAGGCAAGCUCAUCGACUUCCUCUUUUUGUUCUUUUGAGAUGUCAGGUGCAAAAUUGCCUUCGAUGGCUUUUGAUACCUUUUGUUGGACUAAUAUGCCUCUCAUCUUUUAUUGCCAGAUAGAGAAGUCCCCUUUACCAUUAACUAUUCCCAAAUCAAAAUUAUGUGUUGUCAUUGGUUAACACACUAAUUAGACCACACGAAGUAGUAUUGGGAAGUGUGAUAAGGUAAUAUCUUGUUAAUUCUUAGCAAAAGUAACAAUGAACCUAAACGCUACGUCCACCAAGAAAUACCAAGCACUUAAAUCAAAAGAAUAAGCACUCAAUUAACGUAAGUAAUCCUAGUUCUAGCACAAGCAAUGGUUACCCCUUCACGGUAACCCCAAAACCUAACGAUCACCCCAUACGAUGAUCUUGCUAUUGCUGAAUUUAAAUGGAUUAAGCCAAUUUACCAGAGCGGACCUAUCUGAGUCCGUAGAGUGAAGAUAAACGAGCUUGCUAUUCUAUUGCAGUCGGCGUCGCACCAGGGGCAAAAUCGUCCAACUUUUUCUGUGUAACCUGAAACACAAAACAAAGUAUAUCAGCGCAUUCAGGAGAUCGAAACAAGCAAGUUACUUGAAGAAAGCUUCGUCGAAAUGCCACCCACGCGCCACCUCACCAGGGGUACCUCGACCUGCUGGUAAUGGGUAUGGCCUCCGUUUGUCCAACCGAGUUUCGGUUUGUGAGUAAUUGAAGAAUUUCAGAUUCGGGUAGAGGGGUGAAAUCGUGAAAAUAAACCAAUUUUGAGCCGAUUUUUGCCAACCAAGCUUUGAUACCAGAUGUUAGGAUCUUCCUCUAGCUGCUCAAGAUGAUUUUCGGGCUUAGUUAACCUUUAAAACACCGAAUCAACACCAAAACCGAAGGUACCCGCUGCCGCCGCCGAGUUCUACCUAUGGUUGCUUUUAUUCCUUUUGCUUGUUGUUUGCUCACUCACAAAGGAUGAAUACUACACAGGUAAGGGUCACAAAGACACAAGCAAGAGGUAGAGAAGAUCAAUCAGUAGGAUGCACGAAGAAGAAGAAGAAGACUGCCUCUCUCUCUCUCGGGUUUUUCACACACAAAACGGGACAUGAGAAUUACCAAUAUAUAUAGUAAACCAAUGACAAACUAAGGUAAGUUAUACAUAUGGUAAGUAAGCUCGACUAGGGUUAUGGCCCAAUAGCACACCAACAAGCCACAAAGGUUUAUUAGCCAUCUAAUAGGUAAAACAACGUUAAGUCGGGUCAUCCCAUUAUUCGGUGUUGAUUUAUCAUUCAGUCAUUCAUGUCGACUGAUAAAACUGGUUUACUCCAUCACCCGGGAAGUCGUUUGACAACAUGAUGUCUAACAUAUAGGCUUACAAAGAAGUUCCUAUACGCCCGACCAUAUCUUUCGUGAAUGCAAACAAAUUCUUUACAUGCAAAUCUUUACAAGACUAAAACAUUAUGCUUUUCACUUUUCGAUUUCUCAAACCUGAUUUCAUAUUGUUGUUAAAAAACAGUGAGGCGGAUUUUACUAUUCUCAUUAGUAAAAGAAAAAUUGUCUCCAAUUCUUUGUACAUAUUUUUACUUCAAUUUGAUGUUCUUUCGUUAACAAUGUGCAAGGUCUGACUGCUAUCCAUAUUUAGAAUUUUCUCCACUUUGUUUCGCUUUCGUCAAAAGGUAAGAAUUUUCUUUUCCUUCUAUAAGUUUAGCUUCCUCUGAUAAUGUUUAAUUAGAUUAUACAUAGAAAUUACUCGUUUAGUACUCUUACCUCAUGUUUUGCAGUAUUUUGAAGUUCCAUUUUCUUUAUUUGUGGCUGAGAACAAUGUCAAAUUUAGAUUUCUUAUUCUUUUAUGUUCUUUUGUUGACAUUUGUUACAAAUCCAUAAAUAAUGUUAAAUGGAUUUAUGCUUUGGUGAACCAUAGAAUUGACUUAUGGAACCAAUGCCAGCUCUUUACCACCAUUACAAUCGACAAAUCUGCUCCUGGAAUAAAGGCCAUAUUGAACUUCAAAGUUCCUUUCCAAAGGUUUGGAAAUGUGAGAGGUUUUGUGUUUAAUGUUUAUAGCAUCAUAAAUCUUAGUGCUUUCUAUGUGUAGUGUACCUCUAAUUAUUUUCCCAUAAUGACCACGGUUGUUCGAAGUGCAAUACUUGCAUGAGUAUGUAGGGAUAAGCUCAACCAUUGGGUUGAAAACUAACCCAUUGUCAAUAAAAUUCAUCAUUAAAUACUAGAAAGAGCAAAUAACAUAGUGACAACCUUCAAAUUCCUUAUUGCUUUAGUUUGGAUGUUUAUAGUUUGUAUGUUUUAGAAAGUGCAAUUUAUGUUAUGUUAGUUAUCAUGUUUUUACAUAUUGUGAAUAGGUUAAAGUUUUAAAUAAUUCUAUGUAGGCAGAUUUAUUUUACUUGAAAGUUUAGUUUCCACAUAUAGCUUUUUUCAAUUCUUUUAGUUCAUGUUGUUUACCUUGGGCUCCAACUAUUCGAUAAGUUAUCUAAUUGUUCUCAUGGAUGUUUCAGAAACAUGGUCUAAUGGAGUGACUGGUUCUCUGAAUUUCGAAACAAUGUCCCAGAACCAACAACAGAACCAAAGGCAAAGGGAUAGGUGAAGUCAACUUAGAAUCGGGUGCAAUGAUUGUCACAAGAGGAUAAAUGAUCCCAUGUCGUCUGAAAUUAAUAAUUCCAACAUUGAAAGAAUAUAGCAAUCUAUAAUGCAUCAUGAUUUUGAGGCUUCUACCUCAAACCAAGAGACACAUGAUAUUUCCAAUUCUGCAUUACGAUGUAGUUUUAAUGUACUGAACAUACUAACGACUUCAUAUGUAUUACUAACAUGCAAUAGCUGUAAAUAUUGUGGUGCUAGAAAAUUUUAUAGAGUAAGUAAAGGCUUCUGUUGCUCUUAUCAAAAAGUUCAUCUCUGUAUUCCUGAUUCACCAACUGAACUGUACAACUUGUUUACUUCCAAAGAACCUAAAUGUAUGAAAUUUAAAAAGAUUGCAAGG